CGUGGGGAGCAAACAGGAUUAGAUACCCUGGUAGUCCACGCCGUAAACGAUGUCGAUUUGGAGGUUGUGCCCUUGAGGCGUGGCUUCCGGAGCUAACGCGUUAAAUCGACCGCCUGGGGAGUACGGCCGCAAGGUUAAAACUCAAAUGAAUUGACGGGGGCCCGCACAAGCGGUGGAGCAUGUGGUUUAAUUCGAUGCAACGCGAAGAACCUUACCUGGUCUUGACAUCCACAGAACUUUCCAGAGAUGGAUUGGUGCCUUCGGGAACUGUGAGACAGGUGCUGCAUGGCUGUCGUCAGCUCGUGUUGUGAAAUGUUGGGUUAAGUCCCGCAACGAGCGCAACCCUUAUCCUUUGUUGCCAGCGGUCCGGCCGGGAACUCAAAGGAGACUGCCAGUGAUAAACUGGAGGAAGGUGGGGAUGACGUCAAGUCAUCAUGGCCCUUACGACCAGGGCUACACACGUGCUACAAUGGCAUAUACAAAGAGAAGCGACCUCGCGAGAGCAAGCGGACCUCAUAAAGUAUGUCGUAGUCCGGAUUGGAGUCUGCAACUCGACUCCAUGAAGUCGGAAUCGCUAGUAAUCGUAGAUCAGAAUGCUACGGUGAAUACGUUCCCGGGCCUUGUACACACCGCCCGUCACACCAUGGGAGUGGGUUGCAAAAGAAGUAGGUAGCUUAACCUUCGGGAGGGCGCUUACCACUUUGUGAUUCAUGACUGGGGUGAAGUCGUAACAAGGUAACCGUAGGGGAACCUGCGGUUGGAUCACCUCCUU
rnacentral:rRNA from 1 species